rnacentral:lncRNA from 1 species
AGAGGUGGAUUUGUUUUGUGCCCAAAAGAUUGUGACUUUGUUGAAAGUUCGUAAAUGGAAAAGGCAGCUGCCCCCUGCGGCUUGGAACGCUCAAUUCGGAGGUAUUAUGCCUUGAAUUUUUACAAAAGAAGAAUUGGAACUACCCUAUAGAAGGCAAAACAAAAAUAUAUAAGAGGAAAAAAGGAGAAAAUUUAUCUAAUUUCCCUUUUUUUUAGUUGUAUUUUUUUUUUCUCGGUCCUUUUUUUGGGGGGGGGUGGUGUUCAGGAUGCAGGGUCGAUCUAGUUGGUUUACAUUGAUGUAGUUCCAAUAUGUAAAGAUGGAGUUUAUAUAUAUAUAUAUAUAUAUAUAUAUAUAUAUGUACAUGAUAUAGAGUCAAUUUUAGACCUUGUUAAUGGUGUUAGCCUGUUAGGCUUGUGGGAGAUUCAUUUUGUUUUCUUUCAUUUUCUAUAAAUGAUUCUGAUUAUUUACAACGUUGGACAGACUUCCCUACAUCAUUUUUGUUGUUGGUGGGGGGGGAGGGGGGGAGGAGACACCCUGUUUCGUUACAGGGUUUAUUGACUGCAUUCUUCCUUGUUCUGGAAGACCUCCUCAGUUCCAUUGAGCCGACAAACCUUAUGAAGUUGAAUGUGAAGUGUUACCUUGCAUCUACAUGUUUCAUCUUUUAACUUUAUUUUCAUGUUUCACACUGAUGCUUGUAGUUAUUUCUAGUUUUGCAUACAGAUUAGCAAAUAGGUUAUGCAUUUACUGUUUAGUCAUCUAAUGAUUUGAUAUCUAAUAUUUAGGCAUGUGGGAAUUUAUAGAUGUACCGAUUAUGCAUACAUAUAGGUUUUGUGCUUGUAUUAGGAAGUUAGAUUCUUGUGGUUCCUCUUCAAUGGCAUGAAUUUAAAUUGUUGUGCUUCAUGAUUAGGGUCUGAAGAACAACCAUGUAGUAAGAAAGUUGGAGAAGCAUCAACAGAUUUGCACCAUUGACCAACAUAUUGAAGGGCAAUUUGGUGGUGGUUGUCUGUUGGCUUGUAUUAUAGCAUGGGUUCGUCCGAGUGCUUAACGGUGUUUAUCUGUUUGCAUCUCAUGCCUUAACUCCCUCAGUUUUCUCGAGCAGCUGUCAGAUUGUUUGAAAAUAAUUGUCUACUUUUAAUUUGUUGAAGACUCACCUUGUUAUAUGUUCAUUGCCUUACAUGGCACAUAAACUGUUUCCAUUUUGAAGUUGAACUAUUUCGUACACCUCCAUAUAUAAACAUAGUUGCUCUUUAUGGACAUAUAACAGUUUACUUGUUUGAAACGAUGUGUUCGUUUCCACUGAAUUCUACUCAUUUUUGUAUCCA